rnacentral:rRNA from 1 species
UACGAAGGGGGCGAGCGUUGUUCGGAAUUACUGGGCGUAAAGGGCGCGUAGGCGGUUCUAUAAGUCAGGCGUGAAAUUCCUGGGCUUAACCUGGGGGCUGCGCUUGAGACUGUGGGACUUGAGGUCAGAAGAGGGUCGUGGAAUUCCCAGUGUAGAGGUGAAAUGCGUAGAUAUUGGGAGGAACACCAGUGGCGAAGGCGGCUCACUGGACCGGUACUGACGCUGAUGCGCGAAAGCGUGGGGAGCAAACAGG